AUAUGUAACAUUAUAUAUUUAUAAUAUAACACAUAUCUCUUCCCUUUCUUCUAGCACUGCGUCCAUAGACACUGCCUAACGGCUCACCCGUGGAGAAAACACAGUCCUCUAGGCUCUGCUCUCCUGGAAUCCUCAGAAAUUCCAUGACACCAUGCAACUUCUCUCCAUUUUUUGUGUUCUUCUCGUAAUCCUGUCCCAGGCAAUAUCAAUGGAGCGCAGUAUCCAACAGAGUGUUUACAAUUUAACGGCAUUUUCUGGAACCCAAAGAGCCUCCACUGUGUGUACCUAUCUGCAAGACGCAAAAAUAACAAGAAAAUUCGCUGCCUCAAGUCAGCAUAAAGUAUCAGUCCACACCCAGAAAGUUUGGUGGAGACAGGCAACUCCAUUACUCAGUGUAAAAUAAAGUCUGUGCAUUUCCUGGGCCAAUCCCUCGUGCUGUGAAGUGGCUCUUUCUGAUGUGGGUUUACAGGGAAGACAAUGCCUAUGAGAUCUGGAGUCAUAGCUCUGGUGCCAUCAAGAGAUCUGCACCAAACAGGGAAAAUAACACAGACACACUGAGUUGAGUUUUAUACCUCCAUGGAGGCCUAAUACGAUGGCAAAACAUAACACUUCCAUAGACACUUUCUUUUUUUUUGAGAUGGAGUCUCACCCUGUCACCCAGGCUGAAGUGUAGUGACAGAAUUUUGGCUCACUACAGUCUCCGCCUCCCAGGUUCAAGUGAUUCUCCCACCUCAGCCUCCUGAGUAGCUAAGACUACAGGCACCUGCCACUAUGCCCGGCUAAGUUUUGUAUUUUUAGUAGAGACAGGGUUUUGCCAUGUUGGCUAGGCUGGUCUGGAACUCCUGGCCUCAAGUGAUCUGCCCUCCUUGGCCUCCCAAAGUGCUGGGAUUACAGGCCUGAGCCACUGAGCCCAGCCCAUAGAUACUUUCUGACUAAAGGCCUAGAGUUUUCCCUCUUCCAGAAGAAAACGUAGUCUACAGUGACAUAGUUGAGAAUCUUUGUUCUUCCCAUUUCCUUGUUUACCUUCUUUUGGGGAUAAAUAAUUAAGCAAAAAUAACGGUGAUAAAGAUGAAGGAUGAAGCAACCUUCUAUUAAAAUCAG
rnacentral:lncRNA from 1 species